AGUGAACGCUGGCGGUAGGCCUAACACAUGCAAGUCGAACGGCAGCACAGUAAGAGCUUGCUCUUACGGGUGGCGAGUGGCGGACGGGUGAGGAAUACAUCGGAAUCUACUUUUUCGUGGGGGAUAACGUAGGGAAACUUACGCUAAUACCGCAUACGACCUACGGGUGAAAGCAGGGGAUCUUCGGACCUUGCGCGAUUGAAUGAGCCGAUGUCGGAUUAGCUAGUUGGCGGGGUAAAGGCCCACCAAGGCGACGAUCCGUAGCUGGCCUGAGAGGAUGAUCAGCCACACUGGAACUGAGACACGGUCCAGACUCCUACGGGAGGCAGCAGUGGGGAAUAUUGGACAAUGGGCGCAAGACUGAUCCAGCCAUACCGCGUGGGUGAAGAAGGCCUUCGGGUUGUAAAGCCCUUUUGUUGGGAAAGAAAAGCAGCAGGUUAAUACCCCGCUGUUCUGACGGUACCCAAAGAAUAAGCACCGGCUAACUUCGUG
rnacentral:rRNA from 1 species